ACCUUUUCCAUAACAUGAUAUUUCCUGACUACACAUUUUCCAUUUUUAAACAUGAUUUACAAACUCUGCGACUUCUCUUCGUUUCGAAGAUUCACGAUGUAUCCAUUCCCUUAAAGGCGCAAAAACUGAGCUAUUGCAUUAAUUAAGACAAGGGUAAUACAGCUCACGAAGAAACUCAGCGUUGCGUGUGGAUGACCAAACAUUUGUUUGUAAUUUGUGAUGUGUCUAACUCAUUUAUAUCUAUUGGCAGAUCAUGUGGCAGAGGAAAGGAACCAAUUACUUGCGAACAGUAGUCCAGUAGUCAUGGAAAUAGAGAUCAAGGCAAUUCAGGAAUUACAAAGCUCUUGCAGUGCCAGUGCUGUCGGCCGCCGAAACAGGUACUACAGGAAAUAAUUUAGAAAGGACUAUCUCUACAGGUACAUUAGAUUACUUAAUAAUAAGUAAAGGCAAAUGCGCGACCUUGAGUACAAUUAGUGAU